CUUGGGCAGCCCAUUCCAUUAACUAAUCACCCUUUCUAUGAAGAAAUUCCUUCUCAUGUCCAAACCUUCCCUAGUGCAAUUUAAGAUUAUGCUCUCUCAUCCUGUUGCUAGUUUCCUGGGAGAAGAGGAUGAUCCCAUCUGGUUACAACCUCCUUUCAGCAGGUGGAAGCUAAAGGCCCUUAUGACACAGAGAAUUCCUCAAGUUGUUUAGAGAAGACAUCAUUCUCUCCCUGAUCAGAUGGUUAGUGAAAAACUCCCACUGCGACACCACCCUUACUGGUCUCUUCUCUGCUCCUCACCCAUAUGCCCUCAGCCAUCCUUACAAGUCAAGUGCUUCUAAAUUAUGAGACUCUCCAGCAGCAUCACCACAGUGCCCUGCUAAUGAGCAUAUCUGAGGCUUGUUUCACCCACACUCAAUUUCAAACUGACCGGUACCUUGUUCUUAAAAAGCAUAAAACCCCCUAAACCAACCAAACAACCCAAACCCCAACCAACAACAAACAAUUCCCCUUCCCCCUCUCCACACCCCGCCAACUCUUUCCACUCCUUCCUCUUUUUCAGUCAACCUGUAUAUGAUAAAGUUGACAAAGUAGAGUGAGAACCAAAACCUCUGGCUAUUCUCUGAUCACCAAGAUGAUGGCUGUCCACAAUCUCUACUAGGCCCUUUGGAGUCACAGCUGUCCAGGACAGUAAGAGUUAGGAAGAAAUAUAGGACACAGACAUGAGCAAGAUAGAAAUGAGUUUUGAGUACCAAAGAUAUCCUCCAGACAUGACAGAGAUAUGUAAUCCUGAGUGACCCAGGGACUGAGAAACAACCUAAUAUACAGAUAUUUGUGCUGCUUCAAGGGUGAGCCAAAUCACUCCCCCACUGUUAACCACCACCAAUUUUCCAGAAACUCAAAGAAACUUCAAAGUCUACAGCAAAAUAGGCAGUUGACAAUUUGAGAAAAGACAUGUUAAGGCAUGCCUCCACUCCCUGUUAGAGAGCUGCUUAUAAUAGCCAAGCCAAGUAGAAACAACCACAGCACACUGAAGGAAGAACAUCUCUGUCCUCCUCCUCUGCCAUAUUCCCCAGUAUGCACCCCAGCCUGGAACAGCAGCACUCCUCUGCAUACAGGGAUAGAAGGAAAUGCUGGGUUACCACUAUCAGUUCUCAUACUAGAAUAUCUGCCAGGCAGUUGGAAGUAAAGGUUAAAGGAUUUAUCACUAGACUACAAAGUACUGACUUCCUUUCAGCAGCAUUCCCUGUACAAAGUGUAAGGCAGUGUGAGCCACAUCGCUCAAGCUGGCAGAAGCACAAUUACUGCCUGAGCACAGACGAACGCAGCUCACUGUUCCAUUUUGGUUGUUUUUCUUCCUCCUGCAAGACACUGCUAACAGCUAAAUGGGUCAAAAUUUAGAUACCUUGCUCACGGGAUACACAGAAGUAGACAGUAAACACAGCUGAGCAGGGGAAGAGGGCACAGAAAUGGCUAAUAACUUUAAACUUCAGUAACUCCAUUUCUUUGUGCACAGAGAUGGCUAGUAACUCUAAACUGCUCUCUUUAGACCACACAUCCCAGAUUUAAUCUUUUUCCAUCAUACAUAAACAAUUCCUUUGGAAGCGGUACUAUUUUGUUAGAAGCCCUGAAAAGUUUCCCCCUCGUGACGCUUCAAGAAAUCCAACUGUUCCACUUUGAAAGCAUUCAGGCGUAGUUAAGAAGUUGGCAACAACUUUACACCAGAAAUACUUUCUAAUACUUUCUUUGGGUUUUGACAAUUUUAAGGUCAAGUCUUAACAGCUCAAAAUGACUUCUGUUAUCACUCCAGUGGGGUACAGAAU